GGUAUUGGGUCACUAAACAACAAUAGUAAUGACAUCAUCUGUCCUCCAGGAGGAGGUAUUGGGUCACUAAACAACAAUAGUAAUAACAUCAUCUGUCCUCCAGGAGGAGGUAUUGGGUCACUAAAAAACAAUAGCAAUGACAUCAUCUGUCCUCCAGGAGGAGGUAUUGGGUCACUAAACAACAAUAGUAAUAACAUCAUCUGUCCUUCAGGAGGAGGUAUUGGGUCACUAAACAACAUUAGUAAUGACAUCAUCUGUCCUCCAGGAGGAGGUAUUGGGUCACUAAACAACAAUAGUAAUGACAUCAUCUGUCCUCCAGGAGGAGGUAUUGGGUCACUAAAAAACAAUAGCAAUGACAUCAUCUGUCCUCCAGGAGGAGGUAUUGGGUCACUAAACAACAAUAGUAAUAACAUCAUCUGUCCUUCAGGAGGAGGUAUUGGGUCACUAAACAACAAUAGUAAUGACAUCAUCUGUCCUCCAGGAGGAGGUAUGGGUCACUAAACAACAAUAGUAAUGACAUAAUCUGUCCUCCAGGAGGAGGUAUGGGUCACUAAACAACAAGGCCACAUGAGUUAAGUUACAGUCAUAAUAGUCAUUCUACAGAGUACAUAAAUAUUUUGUGUCUGAAUACAGAAUCAAACAGU